UACGUAGGGUGCAAGCGUUGUCCGGAAUUAUUGGGCGUAAAGAGCUCGUAGGCGGUCUGUCGCGUCGGCUGUGAAAUCCCGGAGCUCAACUCCGGGUCUGCAGUCGAUACGGGCAAACUGGAGUACUGCAGGGGAGACUGGAAUUCCUGGUGUAGCGGUGAAAUGCGCAGAUAUCAGGAGGAACACCGGUGGCGAAGGCGGGUCUCUGGGCCGAAACUGACGCUGAGGAGCGAAAGCGUGGGGAGCGAACAGG
rnacentral:rRNA from 1 species